rnacentral:rRNA from 1 species
CCUACGGGUGGCAGUAGUGGGGAAUAUUGCACAAUGGGGGAAACCCUGAUGCAGCGACGCCGCGUGAGUGAAGAAGUAAUUCGUUACGUAAAGCUCUAUCAGCAGGGAAGCAAAUGACGGUACCUGAGUAAGAAGCCCCGGCUAACUACGUGCCAGCAGCCGCGGUAAUACGUAGGGGGCAAGCGUUAUCCGGAUUACUGGGUGGAAAGGGAGGGGAGACGGGUCGCCAAGUCUGGAGUGAAAAGACGCAGCUUAACCGCGGAACCGGCUUGGAAACUGGCGAACUAGAGUGCGGGAGGGGUAAGCGGAAUUCCUAGUGUAGCGGUGAAAUGCGUAGAUAUUAGGAGGAACACCGGUGGCGAAGGCGGCUUACUGGACCGUAACUGACGUUGAGGCUCGAAAGCGUGGGGAGCAAACAGGAGUAGAUACCCCAGUAGUC